rnacentral:rRNA from 1 species
UACAGAGGUCUCAAGCGUUGUCCGGAUUCAUUGGGCGUAAAGGGUGUGUAGGUGGCGCGCUAAGUCGGGUGUGAAAUUUCGGAGCUUAACUCCGAAACUGCAUUCGAUACUGGCGUGCUUGAGGACUGGAGAGGAGACUGGAAUUCAUGGUGUAGCAGUGAAAUGCGUAGAGAUCAGGAGGAAGACCAGUGGCGAAGGCGGGUCUCUGGACAGUUCCUGACACUGAGACACGAAGGCCAGGGGAGCAAACGGG